UACGUAGGGAGCAAGCGUUGUCCGGAAUCAUUGGGCGUAAAGCGCGCGUAGGUGGCCACAUAAGUCCGUUGUGAAAGUCAAAGGCUCAACCUUUGAAAGCCGAUGGAUACUGUGUGGCUAGAGUACGGAAGAGGCGAGUGGAAUUCCUGGUGUAGCGGUGAAAUGCGCAGAUAUCAGGAGGAACACCGAUGGCGAAGGCAGCUCGCUGGGACGGUACUGACGCUGAGGCGCGAAAGCGUGGGGAGCAAACAGG
rnacentral:rRNA from 1 species